ensembl:lncRNA
UCUGUGAGGAAUUUUUGUUGAGAACUCUUUGCCGAACGAGACGGUGAAAGGGGCUGCUGGCACCGAGAGUGGACUGGUGAAUGAGCAGAGUAAGAAAGAGUACAACAGGGUGGUUACGUGCCCAACUCUUAUUUCUGACUGUGAGCAGUUGCCAGGCAACCAGGGAAGACACAUGAAGUUGGAAUGAAAAAGUCCCCCUGAAAUGAAACUCCCUUGGCAUUAGUCUGAGCUGGGCCACUUCUGCCAGUUGUUAAACUGCUGAAACAUAUGGCUCAUCAUUUAUCUGUUCCAGCUGUGUCCCUCUCUAUCUCCCCACACAUCCACCAACCACUGGAACACAUCUCCAAAGUUCUGCCGGGCCAGCUCAGCUUCCCCUCAGAAGAAGUGCUGCCACCUGCCAGAUGAAGGAGCCUUUUGAGAGGCAGCUGGCAUCGUGAUUGGACUGUACUUUGGUCUGUUCCAGCUUCAGCUCCAGAGACGGCAGGCGGGACGAGUCAACGGAGGCCUGGUGGACGAAGGCAUGCAGCUGAGUACAAUCCAGAAAACAACAGAGGAGGAGUGCAGCGGCCCAUUAUAGCCUUUGACCAAAGAACUACAGACUCUUCACAACCUGCUCAAACUCUUGGUACAGGAUCUCACCACACGGGUCAAGGUUUCCAUCUCAUUUCUACUCUGAAGCUCACCUUCUCCUCCUCAAACUGCUGAGAAAUGUUUCUGCUGCUCUAAAGUCUGCUCUCCAGAACUUCCUAAAAACUCUCAAAGUCUCUUCUGCUG